AAUUGAGAGAACAAGAUGGUUGUCACCUUGGGAAGUAAGGAGUAUGAAGAAUUAUUCAGGCAUGUGUCACUGGGGAUAUAGGUGCCACUGAUGCAAACAGGAAAGUGAGGAAGAAAAAGUAUGAUAGGGUUUGAGUUUAACUUUAGGUAAAAACAACACUACUUAUGAACUGUAAUGGUGAUUAGGCAAUAGGAGAUAUUUACAGCGUGGACUACAGUGUUUGAUAUCAGUAUUUAGAAAUGGUCAAUAGAAAGGUAAUUCAGGUUGAGGCUAUUAGAAAAAUGCUGAUUUGACACUGCGAGAUGUUGGAGUUACAAGAGAAAAAUGAAAAGCCUCAAAGGUGCUUUGGCUGACAACAAUAAGGUAGAG
rnacentral:lncRNA from 1 species